UACGUAGGGUGCGAGCGUUGUCCGGAAUUACUGGGCGUAAAGAGCUUGUAGGCGGUUCGUCGCGUCGAUCGUGAAAACUUGCAGCUCAACUGCGAGCUUGCGGUCGAUACGGGCGGACUAGAGUACUGCAGGGGAGACUGGAAUUCCUGGUGUAGCGGUGAAAUGCGCAGAUAUCAGGAGGAACACCGGUGGCGAAGGCGGAUCUCUGGGCCAUUACUGACGCUGGAGGAGCGAAAGCGUGGGGAGCGAACAGG
rnacentral:rRNA from 1 species